rnacentral:tRNA from 1 species
AGCUUAGUAGGUUAUGUUAGACUGUUUGCUUUCAAAGCAAUAGGGGAUAUUUUUAAGUCCUAGGCUG